AUCUGGGUCUGAUUCCGGUUCAAACAUCCCAGCUAACAGGGAACGUUCCCAGAACAUUCACUAACGUUCUUUAAAAGUUGUGUGAAUGUUAGUACAAAACGUUAUCAAAAUAAUGUUUUUGGAACGUUCUUAUAACGUUAUUAACGUUCUUAUAACGUUUAGAGAAAACGUUCUGGGAACAACGUUCUUGGAACAUCUUUAGGACGUUAUUUGUACUUGAUGAACGUUCGCAUAAUGUUGAUAGGAAACGUUAUUAGAACAACAUUCUCAGAACGUCCUUAUAACGUUAUUAGUAUUUUCUGAAUGUUAUCAUAAUAUUAUCAUAAAACGUUUUGGGAACAACGUUCUUGGAACAUCCUUAGGACGUUAUUUGUACUUGUCGAACGUUCGCAUAAUGUUGAUCGAAAACGUUAUUAGAACAACAUUCUCAGAACGUCCUUAUAACGUUAUUAGUAUUUUCUGAAUGUUAUCAUAAUGUUAUCAUAAAACGUUUUGGGAAACCACGUUCUUGGAACAUCCUUAGGACGUUAUUUGUACUUGACAAACGUUUGCAUAAUGUUGAUAGGAAACGUUAUUAGAACAACAUUCUCAGAACGCCCUUAUACGUUAUUAGUAUUUUCUGAAUGUUAUCAUAAUGUUAUCAUAAAACGUUUUGGGAACAACGUUCUUGGAACAUCCUUAGGACGUUAUUUGUACUUGAUGAACGUUCGCAUAAUGUUGAUAGAAACCGUUAUUAGAACAACAUUCUCAGAACGUCCUUAUAACGUUAUUAGUAUUUUCUGAAUGUUAUCAUAAUGUUAUAAAAUGUUCUGGGAACAACGUUCUUGGAACAUCUUUAGGAUGUUAUUUGUACUUGAUGAACGUUCGCAUAAUGUUGAUAGAAAACGUUCUUAGAACAACAUUCUCAGAACGUCCUUAUAAUGUUAUUAGUAUGUUCUGAAUGUUUUCAUAAUGUUAUCAUAAAACGUUUUGGGAACAAUGUUCUUGGAACAUCCUUAUUUAUACUUGAUGAACGUUCGCAUAAUGUUGAUAGAAAACGUUCUUAGAACAACAUUCUCAGAACGUCCUUAUAAUGUUAUUAGUAUGUUCUGAAUGUUUUCAUAAUGUUAUCAUAAAACGUUUUGGGAACAAUGUUCUUGGAACAUCCUUGGGACGUUAUUUAUACUUGAUGAACGUUCGCAUAAUGUUGAUAGAAAACGUUCUUAGAACAAUAUACUCAGAACAUCCAUAUAAUGUAAGUAUUUAUGUUCUCAUAAUAUAUCACGCACGGACAUUUCAGGACUCGCAUUUUGAGCUGAAUCAGACUCUCAAUUCCUGACGCCACUGAAUCGAAUCUUUUUGGAAUCGUUUACUGUCUUGAUUCUCGAGUCUGUUCUUUCCCCUCCCCCACUGCCUCACUGCAGGCAGCUCUUCUCUUGCGCGCGCAGCAGCAGAGCGUCCGUUAUUUUCUGAGGCUGAGAAAACGUAAAUGCCUGACGUUGCGAGCCGUUCGUUCCCGCUGCUGCUCCAUUCAAAUCUUGAGCGCGCUGACAGGGUCCGGUAUUUUCAUCAUAGAGAGAUUUACACAUAGGAUUUACAUCAUAAGAAGGCCGCUGCCUUUCAGUUAUUGCGCGCGCUGACAGCGUCCUGUAUUUUCAGAGAUGCUUCAAAUACAGCACUGAAGGAAGAACUGCACCUCAUUCUUGCAAGGCAGACAAGGACAGAAAAGGCCAGGUGAUAAAUGCUGCUAUUCUUCUCUAAUACUGUUGCUCUUCAAAGAACAUGGUCAUCAAUCAGGAUCCUCCAUUCCCAGCUCCAACCAGUCAUCUGAAGGACUGCAGCGAUGGGAACCCUUUGAACCACAAGUGGCAGUUUCCACCGGAUGAGAAAGGACAUGGUAGAGGAUGAUAGACCCCUAUUGAUAUCUCACUGAUGUUAGCCUGCUGUACUGACUGUAUCACACACACACAGUUUUGUGCUCAAAAGUUUACAUCACAUUGCAGAAUCUGAAAAAUCUUAGAGUUAGUUCACCCAAAAAUGAAAUUUCUGUCAUUAAUUACUUACCCUCAUGUCGUUCCACACCCGUAAGACCUUCGUUAA